ACAUGUGAUCAGGAGGGAAAACCAAACACAGCAAAAGUAUUGAAGACAUCAUCACCAAUCACAAAGCCAAGGGGAAUAAAAGAGUUAACUGCAGGAUAUGCUGUGUGUAUUUAACCUCCUUUGAGAAAAUGAAAGUAUAAAUGAUUUACCAAUCAGAUUAUUUUUCAAGUAAAUGGAGUGGUAGCAGCUUAACCAUGGAGUUUCAUCACCUCUGGUCCCAUUUACACUAGUGAUCUGGAUAUCGUCAUCCUGGGAGGGGUCCUCACAUGGGCGGUUGGAGUGCCUGUCUGUUUCAGGUGGAAGGCUACAUCUGGCAGGUGAUUCGGGUCCUAUGACAUACAAAGCAUCGUGCUUGCAAUCAUGAGAGCGAGAUUGGAUGCCAUGCGUUCAGGUGCUGACUCGGGAAUCUGGUUUUCCCUAUGGAGUUUUUAAAUGGCUAUUUCUUACCACUGAACUAUUUAAAAGUUUCCCAGGACUUGCUCUAUCCUGGAAUUUAAAAGUUUUGGCUCACGCCUUCUUGGUCUGCUGACUCUGCACUCUAGGAAUUGAAGCUGGACUUCCAAGAGUCAU